GAUAGGAGAAUGACAAGUUAGAUUUUUCUUCUUGAUUUUCAGCUUUUUUUCUCCUGAAAAAAUUCAAAUUCAACUAAAAAUGCUAAAAAUCAGAAGAAAAAAUAUGAUUUGUCAUUCUCCUAUU
rnacentral:pre_miRNA from 1 species